UGAAUGCAUGAUUUAACGUUUUCUACGUA
rnacentral:sRNA from 1 species